CGUGGCGACUCGGAAUCUGAAGGAAGUCGGCGGCAAAUAUCUGGUCUGGCAUACAGAAACUUGAUAUUAAGGCUUGUGAGUGUGGAUAAGUCUGCCUAAUAAGACUAAGUCCUAUAGUUGUCCGGAACACUCGGAGUAAAUCAAGCAGACAUAAGUUGGAAAGAA
rnacentral:ncRNA from 1 species